ACGAAUCCAAGCUUAUGGUCCCACAUAAAUGGGAUAAUUCCAGGUUAGAUUUGUGUAUAUCAAUUGGGGAAUUGGUGAAACCCCUACAUAAAAAAAAAAAAAUUUUAAAACUUAUUUUUGCUACCGCCUUUGUUGGUUGUUACAAUCAUAUCUAUUUUUUUUGGAAUUGUACAUAAGAUGUGUGUAAUAAUUGAUGAUUUUGUAUUCUUUGAUCGUUUUUGCUAUGCCAAUUAGUUAAGCAUGUUAGGGUUUCUUAUUUUACUAUUUAUUAUCUAACC
rnacentral:lncRNA from 1 species